rnacentral:rRNA from 1 species
UGCAAGUCGAGCGAACGGACGAGAAGCUUGCUUCUCUGAUGUUAGCGGCGGACGGGUGAGUAACACGUGGAUAACCUACCUAUAAGACUGGGAUAACUUCGGGAAACCGGAGCUAAUACCGGAUAAUAUUUUGAACCGCAUGGUUCAAAAGUGAAAGACGGUCUUGCUGUCACUUAUAGAUGGAUCCGCGCUGCAUUAGCUAGUUGGUAAGGUAACGGCUUACCAAGGCGACGAUGCAUAGCCGACCUGAGAGGGUGAUCGGCCACACUGGAACUGAGACACGGUCCAGACUCCUACGGGAGGCAGCAGUAGGGAAUCUUCCGCAAUGGGCGAAAGCCUGACGGAGCAACGCCGCGUGAGUGAUGAAGGUCUUCGGAUCGUAAAACUCUGUUAUUAGGGAAGAACAUAUGUGUAAGUAACUGUGCACAUCUUGACGGUACCUAAUCAGAAAGCCACGGCUAACUACGUGCCAGCAGCCGCGGUAAUACGUAGGUGGCAAGCGUUAUCCGGAAUUAUUGGGCGUAAAGCGCGCGUAGGCGGUUUUUUAAGUCUGAUGUGAAAGCCCACGGCUCAACCGUGGAGGGUCAUUGGAAACUGGAAAACUUGAGUGCAGAAGAGGAAAGUGGAAUUCCAUGUGUAGCGGUGAAAUGCGCAGAGAUAUGGAGGAACACCAGUGGCGAAGGCGACUUUCUGGUCUGUAACUGACGCUGAUGUGCGAAAGCGUGGGGAUCAAACAGGAUUAGAUACCCUGGUAGUCCACGCCGUAAACGAUGAGUGCUAAGUGUUAGGGGGUUUCCGCCCCUUAGUGCUGCAGCUAACGCAUUAAGCACUCCGCCUGGGGAGUACGACCGCAAGGUUGAAACUCAAAGGAAUUGACGGGGACCCGCACAAGCGGUGGAGCAUGUGGUUUAAUUCGAAGCAACGCGAAGAACCUUACCAAAUCUUGACAUCCUUUGACAACUCUAGAGAUAGAGCCUUCCCCUUCGGGGGACAAAGUGACAGGUGGUGCAUGGUUGUCGUCAGCUCGUGUCGUGAGAUGUUGGGUUAAGUCCCGCAACGAGCGCAACCCUUAAGCUUAGUUGCCAUCAUUAAGUUGGGCACUCUAAGUUGACUGCCGGUGACAAACCGGAGGAAGGUGGGGAUGACGUCAAAUCAUCAUGCCCCUUAUGAUUUGGGCUACACACGUGCUACAAUGGACAAUACAAAGGGCAGCAAAACCGCGAGGUCAAGCAAAUCCCAUAAAGUUGUUCUCAGUUCGGAUUGUAGUCUGCAACUCGACUACA